GAUGAACGCUGGCGGCGUGCCUAACACAUGCAAGUCGAGCGAUUUACUUCGGUAAAGAGCGGCGGACGGGUGAGUAACGCGUGGGUAACCUGCCCUGUACACACGGAUAACAUACCGAAAGGUAUGCUAAUACGAGAUAAUAUGCUUUUAUCGCAUGGUAGAAGUAUCAAAGCUUUUGCGGUACAGGAUGGACCCGCGUCUGAUUAGCUAGUUGGUAAGGUAACGGCUUACCAAGGCGACGAUCAGUAGCCGACCUGAGAGGGUGAUCGGCCACAUUGGAACUGAGACACGGUCCAAACUCCUACGGGAGGCAGCAGUGGGGAAUAUUGCACAAUGGGCGAAAGCCUGAUGCAGCAACGCCGCGUGAGCGAUGAAGGCCUUCGGGUCGUAAACUCCUUUUGCUAGGGAGUAAUUUUUGAAAGUACCUAGCGAAUAAGCACCGGCUAACUCCGUGCCAGCCGCCGCCGUAA
rnacentral:rRNA from 1 species